rnacentral:rRNA from 1 species
UACAGAGGGUGCAAGCGUUGUUCGGAAUUAUUGGGCGUAAAGCGCGUGUAGGCGGCUUUGCAAGUCGGGUGUGAAAGCCCUCAGCUCAACUGAGGAAGUGCGCCCGAAACUGCAGAGCUUGAGUGCCGGAGAGGGUGGCGGAAUUCCCCAAGUAGAGGUGAAAUUCGUAGAUAUGGGGAGGAACACCGGUGGCGAAGGCGGCCACCUGGACGGUAACUGACGCUGAGACGCGAAAGCGUGGGGAGCGAACAGG